rnacentral:rRNA from 1 species
AGAGUUUGAUCCUGGCUCAGAAUCAACGCUGGCGGCGCGCUUAACACAUGCAAGUCGAACGGGAAAGUGGAGCAAUCCAUGAGUACAGUGGCGUACGGGUGAGUAACACGUGGGUAUCUAACUCUUAGUGGGGAAUAACCCAGGGNAAACCGGGGCUAAUACCGCAUAAGCUCGAGAGAGGAAAGCAGCAAUGCGCUGAGAGAGGAGCCCGCGGCCGAUUAGCUAGUUGGUAGGGUAAAGGCCUACCAAGGCAGAGAUCGGUAGCCGGCCUGAGAGGGCACACGGCCACACUGGCACUGAAACACGGGCCAGACUCCUACGGGAGGCAGCAGUGGGGAAUCUUGCACAAUGGGGGCAACCCUGAUGCAGCGACGCCGCGUGAGCGAUGAAGCCCUUCGGGGUGUAAAGCUCUUUCGUCAGGGAAGAUAAUGACGGUACCUGGAGAAGCAGCUGCGGCUAACUACGUGCCAGCAGCCGCGGUAAUACGUAGGCAGCGAGCGUUGUUCGGAGUUACUGGGCGUAAAGGGUGUGUAGGCGGUUCUUUAAGUUUGGUGUGAAAUCUCCCGGCUCAACCGGGAGGGUGCGCCGAAUACUGAGGGACUANAGUACGGGAGAGGAAAGUGGAAUUCCUGGUGUAGCGGUGAAAUGCGUANAUAUCAGGAGGAACACCGGUGGUGUAGACGGCUUUCUGGACCGUAAC